GAGCUCUUUCGCACCACAGCCGUCUCCAUCUCGCAUAUCAGCUCCGUCGAAAUGUCCUCUCGGCUAUUUCAACACGUACACUCGGAACACCCCCUACUAUGUUACCCUCUCGAUUUCAGUCCUUAGGCAAUAACUUUCCGGUCAAAAAUCUCACCUUCCCAUCCGAGCCGAAUAGCGACAUUAAAUUAAUGGGCUCCUGCAAUGGUUUGGUAGUUUUAGGCAAGUUUGAUCUCCAUGAGGUUACCUCUAGGCAAACUGUAUUCUGAUUUUUUUAAAAUGUUGGUAAUCUGGAACCCAUCCACUGGAUUCGUCCGCAAAAUACCUAGUCCAAGUUUUCAGAUUGGGAUGAUAGAAUUGACAGAUGCAAGGAAAGAGACGCACAUAUACGAGGCAUAUUAUGGUUUUGGUCAAGUGUUGCCCUCCGACGACUAUAAACUUGUUGUGAUGCCCAAUGCUGGUUGUCUUAUGCAAGUAUACGUGUUCUCAGUCAGAGCCAACUGUUGGAAAGUUGUUAAAGCUCCUGACCUGUUGCGAUCGCCCGUCUGGUCUACAGCAUUGGGGACUUAUUCAAAUGGAGCAAUUCAUUGGGCCAGUUUUCGCAAUCCUGAGACUUUCAAGUGACCUGUCUAUGCUUUUGAUUUGGCAAAUGAGCAGUUUCGGGAAAUGCCAUUGCCUGUUCUUAGCCACAGCGAAGAUGACAUGAACAGGAUUCGAAUUACAACUCCGGUUCUAGUAGGAGGAUGUCUUUGUGUGAUGUUUCAGGAUAUUAAUGAGUAUAGUGAAUUUUGGGCGAUGAAAGAGUAUGGGGUGCCUGCAUCUUGGGUUAAACUCUUUCGUUUAAAUGUACGUGAUUUACCAGAUAUGCUUGCUCCAUUCUUUAGGCGCUAUUUCUGGAAUCCUAUUUUCGUUGCAGAAGACGGUACAUUUUUGUUCCAAAUGAAUAAGGAGGAGUUGGUCAGGAUUAAAUGCUAUAAAGAAGAGAAGCUAGUCUGCACCGGCCGGUACAGUCUUGAGGAGGUGCCGGGGUGUGGGUGUACAAUUGAUGCCAUUUUGUAUGAUGAAACUCUUGUUUCGGUACCUGAAUGAUUAUGGUGAUUCAUGUGGCUUGAGACCCAACGGCCUGAAAAACUUAGAAGCAAGAACAUAAAUGAAGAGGGAUUGCUGGUUUUAUUUUGGGUUUUAACUAUCGUAAUUUGGGUUGCAUUGUAUUGCUGGUUUUCUAAGUAUUGUAAUAUGAAUUCUCCACCUUUGGUGUUUAAUGAGCAUGGAUCCUUCUACUUUAUUUCA